UGGUGGAAGCUCCGGCCGU
rnacentral:siRNA from 1 species